CGGGUGGAGGUAAUGUCUGGGGAUCUGCCUGAUGGCGGGGGGUAACUACUGGAAACGGUAGCUAAUACCGCAUAAUGUCUACGGACCAAAGCGGGGGACCUCCGGGCCUCGCGCCAUCAGAUGAACCCAUAUGGGAUUAGCUUGUAGGUAAGGUAACGGCUUACCUAGGCGACGAUCCCUAGCUGGUCUGAGAGGAUGAUCAGCCACACUGGGACUGAGACACGGUCCAG
rnacentral:rRNA from 1 species